rnacentral:sRNA from 1 species
UUACAGAAGCAGAACCUUCCUUACAGUAACGUGCAGAUCUGUGGUUUUUCUACUUGAAGGACACAAUGUUUUCCAAACUAGCACAUUUGCAGAGGUUUGCUGUACUUAGUCGCGGAGUUCAUUCUUCAGUGGCUUCUGCUACCUCUGUCGCAACUAAAAAAACAGUCCAAGGCCCUCCAACCUCUGAUGACAUUUUUGAAAGAGAAUAUAAGUAUGGUGCACACAACUACCAUCCUUUACCUGUAGCCCUGGAGAGAGGAAAAGGUAUUUACUUAUGGGAUGUAGAAGGCAGAAAAUAUUUUGACUUCCUGAGUUCUUACAGUGCUGUCAACCAAGGGCAUUGUCACCCCAAGAUUGUGAAUGCUCUGAAGAGUCAAGUGGACAAAUUGACCUUAACAUCUAGAGCUUUCUAUAAUAACGUACUUGGUGAAUAUGAGGAGUAUAUUACUAAACUUUUCAACUACCACAAAGUUCUUCCUAUGAAUACAGGAGUGGAGGCUGGAGAGACUGCCUGUAAACUAGCUCGUAAGUGGGGCUAUACUGUGAAGGGCAUUCAGAAAUACAAAGCAAAGAUUAUUUUUGCAGACUGUGUCCAGUCUCUUUCUUAAUAGCAAAGGGUGCAAAGAUGUUUUCACCUGAGUAUUGA